UAUAUGAUAGUGUUAAGAGUCCAUCCCUGGGC
rnacentral:piRNA from 1 species